AUUAUCAGCUCGUGGUCCUCCAAACCUUCACCUGGUCGAUUCCACGUCAUCAGUGUACCAAACCCGUCCAUGACCGUGGAAUCGGCCCAUGACUCGUCUUCAGGCUUUGCCUCAGAUGUUCCUAGCUACACAUACUCAGGAACAAAUAUGUCUACCUUCAAAGGGGGCAUGCGAUCAGACGCUAGUGAUUCACCAUUUGAACUCAAUUCCCGAAAAUACUCAGACGCGAGUGAUUCUCCGUGCGAGACGUCGCCGCGAAAAGCUCAUCGAAACUUUACCAGCAGCACACCAAAGCAGCCAAACCACUACAACGCUCAUGAUUUAAACAUGCAUUACCGAAUGUCAACCCCAUCCCCGCUCUCCUAUAGGUCCUCGUCUUCCAUGGGCACUCCGUCCUCCCUUUCACAGAAAUCACAGAAGUCCCAGUAUUCCCAUUCGAACACUUCCAGCCAACGUCAUCAUCCACAUCAGCAUCCACCUCAGACGCCAUCAUCAUAUCCACAGACACCCGUCAUCAGCUACAAAAACCCUGCGUACGAAUACCAAUUAGACAAACACAUGGAGCAAAUCCAAUACAAUAUCAAACGGAUAGAGCUUCAAGAAGACUGUCAUGUGACCAAACAAAGCAAAUACCGUCAUCAUAAACCGUCCUUGUUCGAUUUAAUUACUGAUGACGUCAUCGUGAAAAUAUUUUCUCAUUUGUCUUCUGACCAGUUGUGCCGGGCCUCUCGCGUCUGUCAGAGAUGGUACAGGGUGGUCUGGGAUCCGUUACUAUGGAAACGGAUUGUGAUAAAUAGUGAACGUAUCAAUGUUGACAAAGCUGUGAAGUACUUAACGAAACGUUUGAGUUACAAUACUCCAACUGUGUGUGUUAUUGUGGAGAAAAUCAACUUGAAUGGGUGUGAAAAACUUACGGAUAAGGGACUACAUACUAUUGCCAAACGGUGUCCCGAGCUUCGGCAUCUAGAAAUACAAGGGUGUUCAAAUGUUACCAACCAUUCAUUGUUCGAAGUGGUGUCAUACUGUGUCAAUCUCGAACACCUUGAUGUAACAGGUUGUCCGUGUAUCACCCGCAUCAGCCUCACCCCUCAGAUAAUGCAGCAGGCCACUGCCCACCACCUCCGGCAGAUCUACCUACGGACCCUGGACAUGACGGACUGUUACGCUCUGGAGGACGAGGGUCUCCAAGUCAUUGCUACUCACUGUAGCCAGCUGCAGUUUCUGUAUCUCAGAAGAUGUGUUCGAAUAGGCGACGCGGGACUCCAGUACAUUGCUUACUACUGCUCAGGACUAAAGGAAUUGAGUAUUAGUGACUGCAAAAAAGUGACAGAUUUCGGUGUCUGUGAACUGGCGAAAAUCGGCACCAAUUUACGGUAUCUCAGUGUUGCAAAAUGUGAUAAGAUAUCCGAUGUCGGGAUCAUUCAGUUGUGUAAACACUGCACCAAACUGCGAUACUUGAACUUGAGAGGUUGUGAAGCCGUAUCUGACGAUUCCAUGGACGUUCUCGCUCGACACUGUUCAAAGAUAAAGUCCCUCGAUAUCGGGAAGUGUGACGUCACGGACGAGGGUCUGUGUGUCCUAGCUCAAAACUGUCCCCAGUUGAAGAAACUGAGUCUCAAGUCGUGUGACGCCAUCACUGACGCAGGCGUCAAAUUUGUGGCGAAAUCCUGUAGACAAUUGCAGCAAUUUAACAUUCAGGACUGCCAUUUAACGGUGGAUGCCUAUAGGACGAUUAAAAAAUAUUGCAAGAAGUGCUUUAUCGAACACACCAAUCCCGGAUUUUACUAGUUUUAUAGAAAUAAAAAUAUCCCUUAUUUAUUACAACAUGCCCAAGUUGAUUGUUACUGUUGUUUUUUAAUCUAAGAUUAAAAUGUAUAAACC
rnacentral:misc_RNA from 1 species